GGGCGUGGCUCUGAGCGAGGGGCGUGGCCAGGACUUGCGAGGUGGCUCGAGGGAAACCAUAGUUCCAGAGCCACUCAGGACCACAACUGUCCGCAUCUGACAGUUCUUGGGGGAGCUGGAGACCGUUGACCAGGCUGACGACUGACACAGGGCACCUCGGAACGCCCCGUCCCAGGGUCAUGUGGCCACCGCUGGUACUGCUGUUUCUGCUGCUUCCUCCUGCCCAUGGCGCCCCCCACCCGGCUGCUGACCUCCAGAAAAGCUUUCCAAGCUUACUCGAAGAAAUACAAACUCAAGGAAACAGAGGCAUCUGGAGGGAAGACAACCCGCUCAAUGGCCCCCGCUGUCCUCCUGGCUCAUGAGGUGGUUGCUGUGUGGUCUAGGAGCUGGGGGCAAGGACCUGUGGCCUCAUGAGGGCCUGCCAGGCACAGGAUCGGGAGUUCCCCACUCCUCCUCCCAAUACCCACUUUUUGUCCCCUCCCGGGCCCCAUCAACUGCUGAA